UCGUCGUGAAAUUAGUCACAGCUGUGAUAGCGGAAAAAGGCAUUGCUAUCUGUUUGCAUUAAAUUUGGUGUUUAGAAUAACGACAACAUUCCGAUUUCCGGUAUUUCGUCUGUAUUUUCACUCCGAUGUGAGCAUUUCAUAGAGAAGCAUUCUGUUUACUACAGCAUAGAUAUAAGUUAUAGACAUACGCACGCAUAUGUUAUCGAGCGGUCUGCAUAUUUGGCAGUACGUCGAAAGUCUUGGAGCGAAAAGAUGAAGAUCGUGCCAGGGAAAUUGAUAAAAACCACCGGGUAAAAAAAACUGUUUCAGAUGGGCAUGGCUUGAAAAAUGUGUAACCGUGCAGAUAGAAACGAAAACGGUAUCAACACGUCUAACCGAACACAUACAAAAAGUGCUGUGCACUCUGUGUUCCGAUUGGAGCAAAAAAUAUCCAGGAGCGUAUCCAAACCAGGAAACACAAAGCCAUAACUUCAAAUGAAACCAUAACUACGAUGUGGCGCCAAGACAAAAAUGAGUUUGACGCCCCUGAUUAAGAAUACUUCAUGACUUCAUGAUGAUGCAAAAGCAGCGACAAUGGCCGAUCCGAGGGAGGCCGUCAGGCCACAAAAGGCGCAACGGAAAUGGGGGUGAACUUCUGGGAAGUCUGUGCCUCUCCUGCUCAUUACCUCGCCGUUGUCCUCGGGGCUGCCUUGUCCAAUCGCUCUCUCCCCCUUUCUGGGUUUUGUCUUGGACAUGGGGGGCGACUUGCGGGUCAGGGUGGCCUUGGCUGUGUCGCCUCUUUCCAUCCAUCCAUCCAUCCAUCCAUUUCUUCACGGUCUGGCUCCAGGAUGGAGCUUGUACUUCUCUCCUCUUGCUGAGGAAGAA